GACGAACGCUGGCGGCGUGCUUAACACAUGCAAGUCGAACGGAAAGGCCCUUCUGUGUCCUCGUGUUGCUAACGGGUGCGUAACACGUUGGUGCUCUGCCCUGCACUUUGGGAUAAGCCUGUGAUCCUGGGUCUACUACCUCAUCUGCUCAUCUUCUUCAUUUUCGGUGGUGUCAAGCUUGUGCGGUGUGGGAUGGGCCCGCGGCCUAUCAGCUUGUUGGUGUGGUUAUGGCUUACCAAGGCGACGACGGGUAGCCGGCCUGAGAGGGUGAGCGGCCACACUGGGACUGAGAUACGGCCCAGACUGCUACGGGAGGCAGCAGUGGGGAAUAUUGCACAAUGGGAGCAAGCCUGAUGCAGCGACGCCGCGUGAGGGAUGACGGCCUUCGGGUUGUAAACAUCUUUCAGCACAGACGAAGCGAAAGUGACGGUAUGUGGAGAAGAAGGACCGGCCAACUACGUG
rnacentral:rRNA from 1 species